rnacentral:lncRNA from 1 species
UGAUACAAUAUCAUUUUUUGGAGGUAUUUUGGGUUUUUGUUUUGAUCAUAUUAUGGGUUUUUUUUUUUGAAGAUACAUUCAAUUAUUCUAGAAAACAUAUGUUUUACGUAAAUUUAGUAGUGCACCGGUGUAAAUUAAGGUUGAUUUAGAACCUUUGGUAGAUGAAGUUAAGGGUACUUGAGGAUACAUUGUUUGCGUGUUAGAGCCAUUGGGUGAUGGUUUC